CAGGACGAACGCUGGCGGCGUGCCUAAUACAUGCAAGUCGAACGGUCUUUCUAUGGAAGCUUGCUUCACUGAGAAGAUAGUGGCGAACGGGUGAGUAACACGUGGGUAACCUGCCCAUAAGAGGGGGGAUAACAUCCGGAAACGGGUGCUAAUACCGCAUAGUUUUCUUGAUCGCAUGAUCGGGAAAGGAAAGACGGCCUUUGUGCUGUCGCUUAUGGAUGGACCCGCGGCGUAUUAGUUAGUUGGUGAGGUAACGGCUCACCAAGACGAUGAUACGUAGCCGACCUGAGAGGGUGAUCGGCCACAUUGGGACUGAGACACGGCCCAAACUCCUACGGGAGGCAGCAGUAGGGAAUCUUCCGCAAUGGACGAAAGUCUGACGGAGCAACGCCGCGUGAGUGAAGAAAAGGUUUUCGGAUCGUAAAACUCUGUUGUCAGAGAAGAACAAGUUGGAGAGUAACUGCUCCAGCCUUGACGGUAUCUGACCAGAAAGCCACGGCUAACUACGUGCCAGCAGCCGC
rnacentral:rRNA from 1 species